rnacentral:snRNA from 1 species
GGAUGUGAGGGCUAUCUGGCUGUGACAUCUGUCACCCCAUUGAUUGCUAGGGUUGAUUCAGUUGAUCUGGCUGGCUAGGUGGGUGUCCCCUUCCUCCCACAACACAGCACAUGUGUCCCUCCUGAAUCUUGGAGCUGGAUCAAAGACAGAUCUUCCCCACAGAGGAGGACUGACUUUUCAAGGAUAACAAGUAGAGUAGCUGUGUUUCCCUACUAGAACCUCCAAACAAGCUCCCAAAGACUUUGUAACAAAGAUUAAUUGGUUAAAAUAUGAUCUAAUAAUUCUGUUUAUAUAAAAUCUAAUGUAAAAAAUUU